CCCUCUCCCUCAUCUCUCACUUCACUUUCCACCAUUUUUCCUCCAUUGAUGCACCUUCGGAGCUUCACAAAAUCACACCAAAGUCACAAAUCACCCUCUAAAUCUUACACUAAACACUUCCAUCUCCUUAGAUUCAAGAAGAUCCAUGGAGAUUCAAUCUUGAAGAUAGUGAGAGAAAAUUUGAUUUUUGGUGUAAACUUGGACACGAGCAGAGCAAGGAAGUAAGUAACUCCGCUUUGACGGGAGUUUUUGAGUAAGGUCUUCAGGCUAAGCGAGGAGUGAGAUUGGUCUGGUGCUGGUGGGGGAUCGUUAGAUGACGUAUUUACUUUAUCGUAUUUCAUUUUUAUCGAUAAAGUCUCGAUGUGAAGUUACUUUGAAUAUGAAUCAAGUAAUAUACUCACGGUUGUGUGUCUCCAUACAUGUAACCGGUUCGCCUUUUGCUGCGAUACUCUGCAUAUUAUGUUUCCUUAUGAAAAAUAAGCUAUACCUGUUUUGUUUUUGUUCGUGAAAUUCCUGAUAAUUGAAAAGUUACAACGACGUUGACGAUUUUACCCUUGGGUUCAAUUAAUAAUAUUUUUCC